CUCGAAAUGCAAGUACACAGGACAGGAUCCUAGACCCCCGAGGUGGGAAAAAAAAGCGUAGUAGUUGACUUGACUGUCUUCUUUCGCUGAAAAAGAACACCCGGUUUUUUGGGACCUUGCUGUGCAAAUUCGCAGGAAGAAAAGUAUCAUUCUUUUCACUUCUUGAUCUGAAAUCAGGUAGGACUACCCGCUGAACUUAA
rnacentral:misc_RNA from 1 species